AGAGUUGAUCUGGCUCAGGAUGAACGCUGGCGGCGUGCCUAACACAUGCAAGUCGAGCGUGAACCCUUAGAAUGAACUCGGUCGAAUGAAGAGGGGGAAAGCGGCGGACGGGUGAGUAACGCGUAGGCAACCUGCCCGUACAGAGGGAUAGCCUCGGGAAACCGGAUUAAAACCUCAUAAUACCAUGGUAUCACAUGAUGCAAUGGUCAAAGAUUUAUCGGUAUGGGAUGGGCCUGCGUCUGAUUAGCUGGUUGGUGGGGUAACGGCCCUACCAAGGCAACGAUCAGUAGCCGACCUGAGAGGGUAAUCGGCCACAUUGGAACUGAGACACGGUCCAAACUCCUACGGGAGGCAGCAGUGGGGAAUAUUGCACAAUGGGCGAAAGCCCUGAUGCAGCAACGCCGCGUGAGCGAAGAAGGCCUUUGGGUCGUAAAGCUCUGUCGGGAAGGAAGAUAAUGACGGUACUUCCCGAGGAAGCCCCGGCUAACUACGUGCCAGCCGCCGC
rnacentral:rRNA from 1 species